rnacentral:rRNA from 1 species
CGACCAGCCACACUGGAACUGAGACACGGUCCAGACUCCUACGGGAGGCAGCAGUGGGGAAUUUUGGACAAUGGGGGCAACCCUGAUCCAGCCAUUCCGCGUGAGUGAAGAAGGCCUUCGGGUUGUAAAGCUCUUUCAGCAGGAACGAAACGGUGGUCCCUAAUACGGGCUACUAAUGACGGUACCUGAAGAAGAAGCACCGGCUAACUACGUGCCAGCAGCCGCGGUAAUACGUAGGGUGCGAGCGUUAAUCGGAAUUACUGGGCGUAAAGCGUGCGCAGGCGGUUAUAUAAGACAGAUGUGAAAUCCCCCGGGCUUAACCUGGGAACUGCGUUUGUGACUGUAUAACUCGAGUGUGGCAGAGGGGGGUGGAAUUCCACGUGUAGCAGUGAAAUGCGUAGAGAUGUGGAGGAACACCGAUGGCGAAGGCAGCCCCCUGGGUCAACACUGACGCUCAUGCACGAAAGCGUGGGGAGC